GAUGAACGCUGGCGGCGUGCCUAAUACAUGCAAGUCGAGCGAACGGACGAGAAGCUUGCUUCUCUGAUGUUAGCGGCGGACGGGUGAGUAACACGUGGAUAACCUACCUAUAAGACUGGGAUAACUUCGGGAAACCGGAGCUAAUACCGGAUAAUAUUUUGAACCGCAUGGUUCAAGAGUGAAAGACGGUCUUGCUGUCACUUAUAGAUGGAUCCGCGCUGCAUUAGCUAGUUGGUAAGGUAACGGCUUACCAAGGCAACGAUGCAUAGCCGACCUGAGAGGGUGAUCGGCCACACUGGAACUGAGACACGGUCCAGACUCCUACGGGAGGCAACAGUAGGGAAUCUUCCGCAAUGGGCGAAAGCCUGACGGAGCAACGCCGCGUGAGUGAUGAAGGUCUUCGGAUCGUAAAACUCUGUUAUUAGGGAAGAACAUAUGUGUAAGUAACUGUGCACAUCUUGACGGUACCUAAUCAGAAAGCCACGGCUAACUACGUG
rnacentral:rRNA from 1 species